GUCCACGCUGUAAACGAUGUCAACUAGCCGUCGGGGUCUUAGUGCCUUUGGUGGCGUAGCUAACGCGAUAAGUUGACCGCCUGGGGAGUACGGUCGCAAGAUUAAAACUCAAAUGAAUUGACGGGGGCCCGCACAAGCGGUGGAGCAUGUGGUUUAAUUCGACGCAACGCGAAGAACCUUACCAGGUCUUGACAUCCAGAGAAGUCGCUAGAGAUAGCUUCGUGCCUUCGGGAACUCUGAGACAGGUGCCUGCAUGGCUGUCGU
rnacentral:rRNA from 1 species